CUUCUGCCCGGAUUUCUACAGUAGGAGCACCGAGAAGCACAGGGUCACACCCAGGGGCCUCCCAGGCCUUCCACCAUCUUCUCCUCCAAGGGCACUGCAGAGCCAGGCCCCGGCCCCAGCCAGAAGACUGGUUCCCCAAGAAAAGAUCCUAGGACCGGUGACAGCCUAUUAACAACGAAAGCAGUAUUUACAAUGGACCCGACACUGUUCUUCCACAGCCCCUCUUUGAGGGCCCGGUCACUACGCAGUACCUGUGGCACCGCUUCAGUGCCGACCUUGGCUACAAUGGCACCCGCGACAGGGUCAGCUGCAGCAACCACAGCGUGGACCCCACCGCGCAGGUAGGAGCGGGCGCGGGGGAAGAGGCGAGCGGCGUGGCAGGGGCGGGCCCUGGACUGGAGCGUGGGGCAGCGGCGGGGGCGGGGCCUGCGUGAAGGUUUGGGGCCAUCCGGGGGCUUAUACGGAUAUUGGGUGGUGGGCGGGCCAGAGCAAAGUUGGGGCCUGAGAACUGCGGUGUAGGGUUGCAUAAAGUUGAUCUCGAUAAACCGAGCCUUGAGGGUAAACAAAAAGGGGGUGUUGACUGAAAAAAAAAUCCAUAACCUAAAAGUUGAGAACUAUGUUUUAUUUGGUGGACUUCCCUAAAACUCAGGCCCUGGAGGCAGUUUCGCAGAUAAAGCAGCAGACUACUCCUAUGAGAUAAGGAAGGAGCCAGGAUUAUAUAGGAGUUUUGCAACAAAAACCAGACAGUCGGAACAUCAAAAUACUACUGUUAAUUAAAGAAAGACAUCUCAAGUUAAUGAAUUUAGUACUUUGCUACAUAAGGGAAGAUAUGAGAGCCUGGGCUUAUUGAAAUCAUUCCUCUUUUUUUUUUUUUGAAGGGCUGCACCCCUGGCAUAUGGAGGUUCCCAGGCUAGGGGUCUCAUCCACGCUGUAGCCACUGGCCUACGCCACAGCAACAGCAACAUGGGAUCCCAGCCAGUCUGUGACCUACACUACAGCUCAUGGCAAUGCCAGAUCCUUAACCCACUGAGCAAGGCCAGGGAUCGAACCCACAACUUCAUCGUUCCCAGUCAGAUUCGUUAACCACUGAGCCACAACGGGAACUCCAAAAUCAUUCCUUUGAUGUGCACUUUAGCUGGCUAAGGACCAGUAUCCUGUUCUUGCCCUGCCUGGGUCCC
rnacentral:lncRNA from 1 species